AGGCAUGGCGGCAGCUACACAUGCAGUCGAGCGGUAACAUUUCAAAAGCUUGCUUUUGAAGAUGACGAGCGGCGGACGGGUGAGUAAUGCCUGGGAAUUUGCCCAUUUGUGGGGGAUAACAGUUGGAAACGACUGCUAAUACCGCAUACGCCCUACGGGGGAAAGCAGGGGAACUUCGGUCCUUGCGCUGAUGGAUAAGCCCAGGUGGGAUUAGCUAGUAGGUGAGGUAAUGGCUCACCUAGGCAACGAUCCCUAGCUGGUCUGAGAGGAUGAUCAGCCACACUGGGACUGAGACACGGCCCAGACUCCUACGGGAGGCAGCAGUGGGGAAUAUUGCACAAUGGGGGAAACCCUGAUGCAGCCAUGCCGCGUGUGUGAAGAAGGCCUUCGGGUUGUAAAGCACUUUCAGCGAGGAGGAAAGGGUGUAAGUUAAUACCUUACAUCUGUGACGUUACUCGCAGAAGAAGCACCGGCUAACUCCGUGCCAGCAGCCGCGGUAAUACGGAGGGUGCGAGCGUUAAUCGGAAUUACUGGGCGUAAAGCGUGCGCAGGCGGUUUGUUAAGCGAGAUGUGAAAGCCCCGGGCUCAACCUGGGAACCGCAUUUCGAACUGGCAAACUAGAGUCCUGUAGAGGGG
rnacentral:rRNA from 1 species